CAAGGCUUCAAUUCUGUCUCUUUCGUCUUCCCUGGAAGGAUGGUGAUCAGAGGAGAGAGCCUCAGCGACUCCUCCGCGACUCAUAACAGCCCGGCAGUCACCGGCAUUGGAAACCACAAGGUCGCCCUUGUGAAUCAUUGCGGUGACACAACAAGCACCACCACCAACGCUUUGCUUUAGAAAUUCUGUGUCUGUAGUCAAGUAGCCAUUUCUAAUUGCCAUUUCUAUUCCCAUUUUCUCCUCGCAUCUGCUUGCUACAGCUGCCAUUAUGUUCUUCUCCAAAUUCUUGGAGGCGAAUUCCGCAGCUUUUGAGCCUCCAUGCCCAUCAAAAACACCAAAGAAAGCCUGUUUAGAAUCUCCAUUGACAUCAACAAAAGCAGAGUAUCGAUCCUCCAUGAGCCCUCUCCUUCCUCGUUUACAAUAAACCGAAUACCCAUCUCCUUCAGCCUCAAUUACCUCCACCCUUUCCUCCUCUCUUCUCGGCGUCUCUAAACCAAAUCCACAAAAUCCAUCAGUCACCACCGGAAUAGCAAUCCUCCCCGGCCUCUUCCUCUUCAACACCGUACCUGAAUUCGCUUCCAACCUUUUCUCAUUUACCCGAAUCGCCAAAGGCGAUCUUGGAGACGCAGAAGGGGAAGACGAAGAUGAUGGUAAUGAUAACGACGUAGGUGAUUGUGAGCCAUGGAUUUUAGGCGACGGACAUGGCUUGCAAAAGAUGGAAGGGAUUCUCGGCGAUGAAAAUAUCGGAGAGUUGGGCACCUGUACCGCCACGGGACCUGCCAUCUCCGAUUAAUUUCGGUUUCAAAAGUCAACAAAAUUUCAGAUGACUGCCUUCCUCUUCUUCUCCUUCUUCUUCUUCUUCUGUUUUUAUGGUUUCGGAGAGAGGAGAAAGUACGC
rnacentral:misc_RNA from 1 species